rnacentral:lncRNA from 1 species
UCGACGACGUCGAGAGGUACAUCCGCGAUGGAAUCACCAAUGGACGCAUUACACGCCGCGAUGGAACCGUCAUCAAUCUGAGGAAGGCUGAGGACUUCGAGCACCUCGCGAGGAUGCUGCUCGGUGGAUUGGGCAUCAUGAACGACGAUGCCAAGGUUAUCCACGUUGUCCACUUGUUCAGGAAACUGGUGUCUUACUCGAACUACAACUUUGACAAGUACACAUAUAUUCCAACUGCAUUGGAUAUGUACUCGACAUGCCUGCGCGACCCGC